rnacentral:piRNA from 1 species
UGAUCCAUGCACAGAGUCUAGGUAAUCU